rnacentral:lncRNA from 1 species
UGUGGCUGCUAUGGUGGAAGCAGCUCCUCCCCGGCCGCUCGGUGCCUGAGCAUGGUGAACCUGUUGCUCCAGAUGGCUUGUUUAUGCUGUUCAACAUAAGAGAUCAUUGAGAGCUCAUGCUUCUGUCUGGAUCACUAGACACAAUGCACCUGGAUGACAAAUCAAUUUCCUCUCUGCUCUAUGAGGCUUCGAAGUCAAAAACAAAGCACAUUCUGGUGUGUAAGCUGAGGUGACGGCGUAGUUUGAUAAGGAAAAUUUCCAGGAUGGCCACUCUUAAAAGGCAAGCAUCUGAGUUACUCAUUCAUUGGCUCCCGUUUUCUAUAAACAGAACCGGCCAUAUGUCUCUAUGGUCACCGGGCUUUGUGGAUUUGGAAGAGAUUGGUAACCACUUGACCAGCUCCACCACCAAUUCCAGCUGAAAUACAAAGGAAGGAAAGGCCCCAGGAAAAGGGGGUGACAGAUUCCAAAGACUAAUUCACCCAUUUCAAGAUUUCUCCAGGCUUCAAUCCUGUUCUGUCUUCAACUGUGUGUGAACAAGUAAAGGAAAAU